CGCAGAAUUAUGCAUUAAUACCUUAAUGGUUGGGGGAGAGAAGCUGAUCCUAGAUCUGUGGUUAAAUUAGUAUGGAAUGGUUGAAGUAACGGUUGGGGGGAGAGAAGCUGAUCCAAGGUCUGUGGUUAAAUUAGUAUGUAAUGGUUGGGGGAGAGAAGCUGAUCCUAGGUCUGUGGUUAAAUUAGUAUGUAAUGGUUGGGGGAGAGAAGCUGAUCCUAGGUCUGUGGUUAAAUUAGUAUGUAAUGGUUGGGGGAGAGAAGCUGAUCCUAG